rnacentral:lncRNA from 10 species
UCUAUAUGCUUUAGGAAGCUAAGUUCUAAUUUCCUUUUGUGAGUUUCAUUUCUUUUAUAACCAGUAUGUUACCACAGACAUCAGUUGCAAAGCUACGAUGAUAGUGUGAUUCUUAGCCGAAAAAAAAGCGUGUGCUCUUAAAGUAUGUUCAGUUUUUCUGUCUACAUAUGCUUUGUGUGAGUUAAAAAGGGGGUGGGUGGUGUAAAUAUUCCUUUAGCUGCUUUGCAUAUUUAACCCAGUCAUCAAAAGGCAUAAAUGACUUCAAUAUUUUAUAUAUCUUGGUUUUCAAGUAUCAUUUCACAUUCUCUAUACAUGACUUUGUUAUUGUGGAAUACAAGCCUGCAAUGGAUGUAUAUAUACAGAACAUUAAUAAUUCUUAGAAGGAUGGAAGCCAAAUGGCUGCAUGAUGGAAAUUAGAAGAAAAAAAAAGCAGAAACUUGAAUUUGCUAAGCAUGUUUGGGGGGAAAUAGAAUCCUUAACUCAGUGCCUCUGUCUGCGAUAUGGAAACCUUCAACUUUGUUCACCAAAAUUGUAUUAUACCUGUGUAUAUAUAUAUAUAUAUAUAUAUAUAAAUAUAAAUAUAGUAUAGUGAAUCAGACACCAUCAGUUUUAAGUCUCUGGUAGCCAAACUUAAAUAAAUAAUCCAUAGAAUAUCACAUACGUUCACUCCAUCUUCAUCUCUGAAGUUAGUGGAGACCAUCAAAAUGACUGUACAUUUCAUAACUCUGGGAAGAUUUCAAAUGUGAAGUGCCCCUGUGCAUUUUCUUGGCCAUAGCACGGCAUUCUUGCUUUAGCUGUGCUUUCCUGGGAUGAGAAGAUCUUGGUGUAUUUAACACAUAAGCUUUGUUAGAAAUCACCUCUGAAGAUCAUUUCAUUUUCUCACUUUGGGUUGUUGCAAGACAAAGCAAAGGAAAAGGAACACAAUGAAGGAGGCCGUGACAUUUUUAGUUGCCACCGUUGUAACUCAAACAAUAUGGGUUUGUUGGUGAACUGAUUUAUCAAGGCUUCUGUUACGGUUUUGCAUCUGUGUGUGAGGAAAAUUUUAAUUUAUUUGGAAGUAUUUAUUAGCCAUGUUGUUGGUCCUGAAAAUAAAUCUCUAAGUAGCACAGUUGUGGGUAUAUUAUGCAGACACUUACCACAAUACCUGCAAAAGUAACUGUGGUUUUCUUUCAAGACACUGUAAUAAACAGUGAACUAAGAGAAUAGAUUCUGAUACAUCUCGAUAAAUCAUUCUCUGCAAAAGUUUCAGGGCUAAUGUAUUUAUGUGUAUUUUUAAAUUCUACUUUCUUUGGCAUCUCUUCAUGGCUCAGCGACAACAAAGUAAUAGGUCAUUGGCUGGCUUACGUCGAUAGGAAUUUUACUCUUAAGAAGGGCCAGUGUAUAGCUGACUCUACAUAUAAUGUGUAAUCAGAUAAUCCAAUAGAGAGGAAUUGUCCAAAUAGUUUUAGUACCUUUCUGAUCAUCUGACUCAGUAGGCUAGGAGACAAUCUGUCAUCUGAGCCAUAGUUCUUGAGAUUUAAAAAGUCUGUCCAGUGACUGCAAUCUGAUUAUGAAUAAACUAUUUUAACUAUUCAUUCUUGCUGAAACUGAAGUGUACACAAUAGCACACUGUUGGCAUGCUGAGGCAAAACAUUGGGUUCUUUUGUGUUCUACCUUCAAAACAAUCUGUUUGCAUUUGAAAUAUAAGUGUUUAAGCUUUUUAGGAGUUAGUGUAAUAAGAGAAUGUGAAUAUGUUGGGAAAUUUUCAGAUGCCAUUAAUAAUUGUAAUUUUGUUGUUAAAUUAACAAGGACUUUAGGAUAAGCCUCUUGAUGUUUUUUGCUUUAAAUUGAAAGCAUGUCUGUCAAAUUGCAAGUCUCCCUUCAGUUUCUAUAUAUCACCCAGGAGAGGGUCUCUGAGUUGGUGUUGUACCUGUACCACUCACAUGUAGCUCAAGUGUAAUUUGUAGUGUUUACAUUCAAGCUGGGAUCUUGAUUGGUUAAAUUAAUCCACAUACCACUGCCACUGCUGAAGGACCAGGUGUUGGAAUACACAGCAUUACAGACUAUAAGCAAAGCAAACAAAAGUUGAUCCUUACAUAUGCCAUCCUUCUGUGUCAUUUUGUGGCUGUUCUGUGUUUUUCUUCCUAGUUAUUUAUUAUUGUUAAUAACUUACUUUUUCUUACAUUCUGUUGUAAAUAAAAUACAAAGCAAUCUUC